rnacentral:tRNA from 2 species
AUUUAAAUAGCUUAAUAAGAGCAUAAUAUUGAAGAUAUUAAGGUGAUUGUUUAAAUCUUUAAAUA